rnacentral:rRNA from 1 species
UACGAAGGGUGCAAGCGUUAAUCGGAAUUACUGGGCGUAAAGGGUGCGUAGGCGGUUGUUUAAGUCUGUCGUGAAAUCCCCGGGCUCAACCUGGGAAUGGCGAUGGAUACUGGCGAGCUAGAGUGUGUCAGAGGAUGGUGGAAUUCCUGGUGUAGCGGUGAAAUGCGCAGAUAUCAGGAAGAACACCAAUGGCGAAGGCAGCUCCCUGGGACGGUACUGACGCUGAGACGCGAAAGCGUGGGGAGCGAACAGG